rnacentral:rRNA from 1 species
AUGGACGGGGGCACUACUAGCAAGAGACGAGUAGGAGCCCCAGGAGAGGGGGAGAGCAGCGGCAAGAGGCAGAAUGCAACCAUGGGGAUGGACGCCCUCGACUGCCCCGUCUGCUUUCAUCCCCUCAGGCCUCCCAUAUAUCAGUGUUCUGUGGGGCAUUUCAUAUGCUCGUCUUGCCGUCCGAAGCUUGUGCGCAACAAGUGUCACUUGUGCUCUGCCGAAACUACCUUCAAGCGCUGUCUAGGGAUAGAACGUCUCAUGGAAUCAGUCACGGUCGCUUGCUCCAAUGCCAAUUAUGGAUGCGCCCAGAAGCUCACUUACUACCAGAAAGAAGAGCAUGAGAAGGAAUGCCCGAGCGCCCCAUGUUUCUGCCCGGCGUCCAGCUGCAGCUUUGCAGGGCCAACAGACGCCCUCCUUGAACAUUCCGCCUCCCAGCACAAGUGGCCGUGUACAACCAUCAAUUACUCCGAAGAUGUUGAGCUCUGCCUAGAACCAGGUCUACAUUUUCUUCGUACCAAAGACAGGGAAAUUUUCCUGCUCAACGUGGCACUAGAGCCAUAUGGGCAUGCCAUCUCUGUCGUCUGCAUCCAACCUAAAGCUAUAAACUCCAAGUUCAAGUGUAGGAUGUCCUAUGGUUCCUUUUUAACCAACUAUUAUCAGAGAUCAGUUUACAAGAUACGAAGCUCAUCAUUGUCUGAUGGGCUACCGAAGGGAUACAACUUAAUUCUGCCCAAGGAUGAGAUAGCUGAUGAUGGAAAGGGUACCUUGCUUACGUUCUCCAUUGAUGAUCCUAAUCCUGAAGUAAAGGUGCGUGAGCCCAUAUGUCUGAAACCAGUACGCAGUGUAUGA